CGGAUAUGCGACGUGUGCAGAACUCAUUCCACGCUGUGAAUGCACCUCCGUUAAUUCCUCUCUUGCCCAAAAGUAUUUCUUCUCCCAUGCUCCUUCAUUCUACUUCGAACUGAAACCUUUGGCGCCGGCCCCCUUUCGUAAUCCACUCACCAGAGUUCCGUCGGCCGACGCCGACAGCCAUACCGGCAGGAGAUUUGAAUCCUGCCGGAGGACAAGAUUAUAUUGCUACUGCUGCACCACCAGUACCGACUUCUGAUCCAGUGGUGGAGCAGAGGCAGCGGAGGGAGCGGAAGAAGAGGACGCUGCUGAAGCUGAGAGAUCGACCACUGGGAACGCUUGUCAAAUAUGUUAUAGGAGAUGGAGAAAAGCACCCACCAGCAGCAACAGCAACAAACUUCUGUUGAAUUUCCUUUGCAGUCGUUGCAAACCUCAGGUUCCGUUUGCCAGCCAUUAAUCGACGACCUCUUAUUACAUGUACUCUUUCCAUAUUUCUCUAUCUAGGGAAAAGUUUUGAAAUGCGGAAGCCCAAGAAGCUAUUAUUCAGAAUCUUGCGAACCUAUGUGAUGUGGCGGAGGCUAUGUGCAAGGCGUCUGAUGAAGGCUUGAAGCAAUCUUUCUUCGAACUUUCAAUAUGGGGCAUCCCUGUGGCCUCAUGGCCUCUCCAUCCGACGAGUGAUCUGUUCGAAGUAGAAUAGAGUAUGGGAGAAGAAACACUUUUGGGCAAAAGAGAAAUUAACGGAGGUGCAUUUCACGGCGUGAAUGUGUUUCGCACGCGUUUCGCUUAAUGCGUGUGUGUGUCAUGAUACGCGUUGCGUUCCAAUUUUGUGGGACGUUUUCGAGGGCAAGUAUGCGGGGAACCCGAGUACAGGACUCGCCACACUCACGAUCGUGGGAGAUGUUCUUGAGGCGCCCUCUGUGAGGACAGAUCCAGUUUCUAAUCAAUGGGCCGUAGAUAUCUGUUUCCGUUUCAAUUCCAUAGUGGGACCAACCAUGUCUAUUUCUGAUGGUCUGUCUGUGUGUGACGUUGUGCGUACAUGGGGACCCACCUCAUAAGCCCGGCCCCGAAAUGGGUUGAAGCUUUUGCUAGUCUCGCGGCUCGCCAUUUGGAAUUAGCGGACUGCGGACGUACUACAUAAAUGGAAAAGGGAUAUUUCCGGUGAUGAUAACCUCGACGAGGACGGGCUCCACUCUCUUCACCUCUACCCGGACUCAGAAAAUGACGAUGACGGAAAAGAACCUAAUGGAGAUGACAUCGAUCGAAGAUGCCGCUGCUGCUGAAGCAGAAAGCUUCGUUUUGACCUUCCCAUCCCAUCGGAACUCGGAACCGACUAGUCAUGGUUGGUAAGCUUAAGCUCACAAAUCUCUUCCAUCCAACGGCGACCAUUCAGAUAAUCAGAUUCUGAAUCUAGGGUUUUUUCUUCGUCUUUGAAGAGGAGGUGGAUGCAACCGCUAUCUGUUUCUGUUAAACCGAUCGGCGAUCCGAUGAAUCUCCAGGUUGAUGGCAUUGGCAAAAGGAACAGCUCAGGCGGAGCUUACAGCUACAAACUUGCUUCUUCUGCAAGAUAAUCCCUACCUGUGUUUCUUUCUUUUUUUUUCCCGAGAUCGCAGAAUGCGCAACAUUGAAAAGAAAUUCUCCCUCCAAGAAGAUUGUUCAUUAUGUUUAACUUUCGGAUAGCUCGGAAAUAGGACAUUCACAAUCUCUAUGAGAGUACCUUCAAAAAAAAAAAAAUCUCUAAGAGGGCAAAGGAAAGGCAAUUUGGACCAUCUUCUUUUCCCUCUCGACGUCAUUAAUGGGGUGCUGAUAUUACAAUAGAAUAUCUCAUGGUCCUCAAUAAGGAUCUUCUGCACACUUCAAAACAUGCUGAUCUGCAUUUUUUUCUAAUAUUGUGGAUUGAGAACAGAGAUCUUGCCUAGUAUAGGAAGGUUAAAUUGUAUAUUUGUUGCUACAAUGUUCUUUAUGUUUCAUGAGCUUUUCUCUUCAGCGGUUGGGUGGGGAGCUUUCCUACUGCAGGAAGGCUGUUUGGUUUUCUGUGACGGUCUCUACACUGCAUUAAAUGUCAAAAAAAGGGAAGGCCAAAAGCUGGUCCUGGGGAUGACUUUUUCUCCACCUGCCAUUUCUAGUGACAUUUUAAAUUCAGAAAUGAGUUGCAUACUCAAUCUAGCACAUGCUAGUGUGGAAAUUUUGUUCUAGUUCAUGGCACUCAUUUUCUUUAAGAAAUCAACCCAUGUUUUAAUGCAGUAUCUCAAGCAUUCCUCUUUUAUGAUUGAGCCCUUUGGGUUUCUAGAUAAUCGAGUUACCUUUUAAUCUUUCAAUUGAGUCAAGAUGGUUUGAUGAGCUUCAAGAUUCAAUACAUUUGUAAAUAAUACUUAAGAAACUAAUAUUGAUUCUCAAACAUCUAUGUUUCCCAUACAAGUCAGGAUGAUGCUCAAGUGUUGGAUCAGAUAGAUGUAAAAGCCCAAUUGCAGUUGCAUAUAGAUUGACUCUCAAACAGCUAUGUUUCUGAUAUAAGUGAGGGGAUGCUCAAGUGUUGGGUCAGAUAGAUGUAAAGGCCCAAUUGUAGCUGCAUAUAGAUUGUAUUGAUUCUGGCAUGUCUUUUAUUCUUUAUUUGAUUGUUGAUAUUGUUGAUCUCUUGACUGUUUUAGGUCAAGAUAUAGUACACCUUUUCAUAUUUCUCCUAUUAAUUUGCUUGCAGGUUUUAUUAAUCCUGAUUUAGUGAAUUAAAUAUGGUUGCUUCUAGAUUCUGAUAAAGUACCUGGAAACUUACACAGUCAAAUUUACAAUUUUUUUGGCAUUUCAACCAAUUUGUAAAAUUUGCCUACUGUAACUUCUACUAAAGCUUUCAGUCAUAUUUGUUCAUUUCUUUCUAUUAAAAUGAAAUAAUUUUGAUGAAUGAUUCGUGUAGCUGACUGCAUAUAGUUAAGACUUAAGACAAGGCUUAGAUGAUGAUGAUAAUUGUUAUCCCCAACUCCCUUCUCUUUUUCAGGCUGGAUUUACUCUGAAUCUACUAGUUGCUAGAUUGAUCUUAAUCAUGCCAAGUUAGAGGUGACAUUAGUAUCUAUGAUAAGGAUUUGCAAUUCAUGUGGAGAAAAUAGAUGUGCUUGUAAAAUUAAUAUCUCAUACUAGUAACCUGAAAAAUGACAUGGAACACAUGAAAUCUUGUUCUUUCUGAUGUAUAUUCUUGGAGGACAUAUUGAUAUGUUGAAGUCUUUGCCUAUCAAAUAGCUGGGUACUUGUAAAACCUUUUCUAUUAGUUUGUAAAGUAGUAUGAUAUGUUGAAAUUCGUAGAGGACAUAUUUAUAUGUUGAAGUCAAGUUAUUUGUCCGUUAGUGUGUGAAGUAGUUCUUUUAAAGACAAGCUAUAAAACCUUUUCUUUUCAUUUUUUUUUUCAGGUGUACUCAACUCUCUCAGAACUCAGUGCAGGUCUGGUGCUAACCUUUAGUUUCCUAUCAUUUGAUACACGACUCAAAUGAUUCUGAUCAGUGUUGUAACUUGUAAGACUCUGACUGGACUGGAUGGUUGAACCAUGACCCAGUGACCUUUUCUGGUCCCGGUUAAAUAACAGUUUUCACAAUUUGAAUGGUUUGAUAUCCAGUCUGAGCCUUACAAUAUUGGUUCUGAUAUUAUAAUGCAUAUAUGUGGGUCCCCCUUUGUGUGGCUUUCAUUGA